rnacentral:rRNA from 1 species
CUGUCUCUUGUAGUUGACCAAUGAAACUGAUCUUGUAGUCCAAAAGCUACAAUAAAAACACCAGACGAGAAGACCCUGUGGAGCUUCAAACCAAAACCAAAUUAUGGCCCCCUUGGUUUUUAGUUGGGGCAACUUCGGAGUAUACACCAACCUCCGACAAAAAGCUAAGACAAACAAGUCUAAACAAUUUACUCGACCCAAUAGUUUACAAUAAACUACUUGACCAAUGAACCAAGUUACCCCAGGGAUAACAGCGCUAUCCCCUUUUAGAGUCCCUAUCGACAAGGGGGCUUACGACCUCGAUGUUGGAUCAGGACACCA